rnacentral:rRNA from 1 species
UACAGAGGGAUGCUACCGGGCGACCGGAUGCGGAUCUCGAAAGCCUGUCCCAGUUCGGACUGGAGUCUGCAACCCGACUCCACGAAGUUGGAUUCGCUAGUAAUCGCGCAUCAGCCAUGGCGCGGUGAAUACGUUCCCGGGCCUUGUACACACCGCCCGUCAAGCCAUGGGAGCCGGGGGCGCCUGAAGUCCGGGACCGCGAGGACCGGCCUAGGGCGAAACUGGUAACUGGGGCUAAGUCGUAACAAGGUACC